GCGAGUGAAGCGGCAAAAGCUCAAAUUUGAAAUCUGGUACCUUUGGUGCCCGAGUUGUAAUUUGAAGAUAGUUUUCUGGUGCUGGCCCUUGUCUAUGUUCCUUGGAACAGGACGUCACAGAGGGUGAGAAUCCCGUCUGGCGGGGUGUCCAGUGCUUUGUAGAUUUCUAUCGACGAGUCGAGUUGUUUGGGAAUGCAGCUCUAAGUGGGUGGUAAAUUCCAUCUAAAGCUAAAUAUUGGCGAGAGACCGAUAGCGAACAAGUACAGUGAUGGAAAGAUGAAAAGAACUUUGAAAAGAGAGUGAAAAAGUACGUGAAAUUGUUGAAAGGGAAGGGUAUUAGAUCAGACUUGGUGUUUUGUGAUUAUCUUCCCUUCUUGGGUUGUGCACUCGCAUUUCACUGGGCCAGCAUCGGUUCGGGUGGUAAGAUAAUGACAUUGGAACGUGGCACUACCUUCGGGUGGUGUGUUAUAGCCCUUGUUGAUGUUGCCUACCUGGACCGAGGACUGCGGCUUUUGCCUAGGAUGCUGGCGUAAUGAUCUAACACCGCCC
rnacentral:rRNA from 1 species